AAUUCCGCUCGACCUCCAAGUGAUGCCGGAAUUCCGCUCGACCUCCAAGUGAUGCCGGAGUUCCACCCGAUCUCCAAGUGACUCUGGAAUUUUGCUCGAAUACUAUAUAAUGUCGGAGUUCUCCCCAGCCACCAACUGAUGUCGGGCUUCUACCUGACGACGGACCUCCACUCGUCGUCAAAUUUCUACCUGACGUCGGACUUUUGCCUGUUGUCAGAUUUUUGCUGGACAAUCUAUCCGAUAUUGGAUUUCUGUCCAUGGAUGGACAUCUACUUGACGCCUUCCUUCUGACCUCCGUCGUUAGACAACAGUCCUUUCGACCUCCGUCGCCCGCCGACUACUGACCUUCAAACUUACGUCGUCUGCCGACUACAGUUCUUCCGACCUCCGUCACCUGCCGACUACAGUCCUUCAAACUUAUGUCGCCCACCGACUAUGGUCCUUCCGACCUCCAUCGCCCGCCGACUUCCGACCUUCAUCGCCCACCGACUACGGUCUUUCCAACUUACAUCGUACACCGACUAUAGUCAUUCAGACCAAACAAACACAUCAACAGUGAUACUUUGUAUUCUCACCAUGUAAUGUACUCUAUAAGAUGUACAUCAAGCUAAGGCCUUCCCCUGAGGAAGGACCUCAUUUGUAAUCAACUACAAUACUAGUGGAUUCAUUCAUACUGAGCCAGACCCCGUGAUUUUUCUCCCUUUUUAGUGGUUUUCCACGUAAAAAUCUUUGUCUCUAAUGAGUGACGCACACUCUCUCUUAUAUGAUUGCGUGCCGGAUUUUCGUACAACGCUAAGACGUUAAACGUUAUAUUUCUCUACCGCUGCGAAUAUAUAUAUAAAGACCUUCAAACUCAUACACUCAUUUGAUACACAAAAUUCAAAAUAUCUCUUAAUUAAUAAUAAAAACUCUAAAUCAAUAAAUCAUGAUAAGCCGCCUUAUAUUUUUUAAAUUAGAACCAAGAAACCCUCACUCUUUUUCUUUAACAACUCAUCCAGUAAAUUUCUCACUCUAAAACAAACCUAUAACAAAAUUUAUCCCUAUUGGUCCACGUCGUUACAAAAGGAUUGUUCGUUACAAUCAUUUUACUUAUGCAAGAAGAAUACUUUUUUUUUUCCUCUAUAAAUCGGGAAUGGGGAACUGCUUUCUCAGUUUUUUUUUUCUUCUGACAAAAAUCUUCUUUUUCCUCUAUAUUUUCCUAAGCAGAGAGCUUAUUAGCAACGUUUCUGACGUUCUGGAUUCGAUUCUUUUGGAGACUCUGAUGGAUAAGAGUAAGCUCGACGCCCAGCCGAGGCUCUUUUACUCCCUUCCGCUCCUUUUUCUUGAUCCAGAUUCCAUCAUGAGAUCAGGCGAGAAUUCACAUUUACAGAAGGUUUCCGAUCAUCGAUUGCAAUCCUUCCCUGAAACUGGGCGCUUCAACAGCGAAUCAAUCGAUGCCUAUAAUUAAUCUUCUUGAUACAGAGCUUUCCACCGGCGAGCAUUCAGAGUUUCUCUGUCUUUUUUUUCGGCAAUUCGUCCCCGUCGUCAUCAUCGGCGUCGGCGUCCUACAGAAAGACAUACAAGAACUCUGUUUGAUGAAGCAUGAAACUCAUGAGGAAGCUCACAGGAGAAGACAAAAUUGGUUGAAGUUAUUUGACAGGUAUAUUUCUCUUGUUAAAAUUUGAUAAAUUUAUCUUACUUUCAAAAUAUAUAGGAAGUCUUAAUCAUUUAGCCAUUUUGUUGAGAGUAUAUUACAUCAAAGUUAAUUCAAUAAAGAAAAUGCUUCGGCUUGGUUUGAGAC